rnacentral:rRNA from 1 species
GAUGAACGCUAGCGGAAGGCUUAAUACAUGCAAGUCGAGCGGUAGGUGGCUUCGGCCAUUGAGAGCGGCGCACGGGUGAGUAACGCGUACAUGACCUGCCUGUCAGAAGGGGAUAGCCCUGGGAAACUGGGAUUAAUACCCUAUGGUAUUGAUAUUAUGAAUGAUAUCAAAUUAAAGUUGAGGCGCUGACAGAUGGAUGUGCGUCUGAUUAGCUAGUUGGUAGGGUAACGGCCUACCAAGGCGACGAUCAGUAGGGGGCGUGAGAGCGUGGUCCCCCACACGGGUACUGAGACACGGACCCGACUCCUACGGGAGGCAGCAGUAAGGAAUAUUGGUCAAUGCCCGCAAGGGUGAACCAGCCAUUCCGCGUGGAGGAUGAAGGCCCUAUGGGUUGUAAACUUCUUUAGAUGGGAAGAAAUGCUAGAUGUAUCUGGUACUGACGGUACCAUCAGAAUAAGCACCGGCUAACUCCGUGCCAGCAGCCGCGGU